AUGUACCCCGGCGUGGUCUCCUUGGUGGUGGGCGACUCCGUCGGGCACCCUCCUGCGCUCGCGUCCACUAGCUACGACACUGUGAGGUGGAGGCCACGGCAUUCGGGGCCGCUGGAGCACCACAACGGCGAGAUCCUCGAGCGGCCAGAGCACCACCGAGCUCGUCGACGAGCAGCAGCGGUGCGCGCGGUGUUCGGCGCGAGGGGUUCGGGGAGAAGGGGGAAUAGCACCGGAGCUCACCUUGGGCAUGGAGGCGAGGUCGGGAGAGGCACGGAGGCUUCGUCCGUACAGCGGCGACUGACAGCCAGUGCACGGGCUCACGAGGAGACAGAUGGAAGGUGA
rnacentral:rRNA from 1 species